rnacentral:SRP_RNA from 1 species
UCUCUGCCCAAGGUGGUGCCCGUGACGAGCACAGGUGCCGAGGAGGAUGAGGAAGGGGAGAAGAACACUGCCGUGGCAGAAAACGAGAGGGAGACAGGGACAGGGGGGAA